GUCACAUGGUACUCGAGGAACUACAGAAAUUGAGGGAGUGUACCGCCAUAGCUGUAAGGGCAAUACUAAUAACUGAAUUAAAUAAUUCUGGUAAACAAGUAUGUGAAGAAAUAUAGAAUGUAGGAUUUUCCAAACAAAUAUAAUAGUUCCCUCUCCACCAGAUGAGAAAGGCUAAAACGUGCAAGAAAAGGUGCUUGUGGAGUGAGGAAGCCAUGCGUAGCGCUAUUGAGGCAUGCAUGGAAGGGAUGAUGGUGAGGGAGGCAGUCAGGCUCUACCAGGUCCCACGGUCAACGCUGGCAGACCGGGUCAAAGGGAGGGUGAGCCAUGGUGUAACUGGCGGACCACGGCCGAUUUUAUCAAAAUCAGACGAGCUGUCCGUGGUCCGCUACUGCCAGUAUAUGGCAAGCCAUGGCCACCCUCUCAGUCGAUCGCAGUGUGUGGCAUUUGGCACAUCCAUCAGGAGGGAGAGAGAUCCACAGGCCAAACCCCUCUCCCGGACCUGGUGGAGAAACUUCCGCCGGCGUCACCGUGCGGAGCUCACUAUGAGGACGCCGAAUAUCAUUGAUAGAGUAACAGAGACACAGCCCUUGCCGUCCUCCUCUGGUGAACCAGCGCUUGCCAGGCCCAUGACACCACCCACAGACAGCACAUCAUUAAAUUGGGGGGAAAGCCUCAGCCGAUGCUGUGGCUGCGGCAAGGCUGAGCCCCCUGGCGAAGAUGGCAUGGUGGUGUCAUGGGUUGCCUGUAAAUCCUGUGAGCGCUGGUUCCACUCAAAAUGUGUCGGCUGGCAUGAGGAGGAAGAGGAGCAGGACAAAAAAUUUCUUUGUUUUUGUUGCCCCGAAAGUUAAUUUAAAAAAAUUCAUAUGUACAGUUAUUUAUACAUUUUUAGCAUUUGUAUAUUUUUACAUGUAAAUACAUUAAAAAAUUUUAUUUUAAAUUCUUUUUUUUCUUAUUUCACUUAGAAAAUGUAAUUAACCUAAAUUACAGAUAUCAGGCAGUAAAGUAGACAUUAUAUUGCCAAGAGCCAAGAAGGCCAUGAUGUAAUUCCUGUACAGCAGGCCAUGCUUGGCUCUUUACCAUAAUGUGUUUUGUAUCAUUGUACUUUGUAUCAUUAUCUUGAUGUUGCAGCUUGUAAUGCCCCCUAGUUUGACUUAGCAUAGGUUUGGUCAGCGUAAUGUUUACUGUGUGAACUGGACUUAAUGUGCUCAUGCCUAU